rnacentral:rRNA from 1 species
UACGAAGGGGGGCUAGCGUUGCUCGGAUUGACUGGGCGUAAAGGGCGCGUAGGCGGUUUGCACAGUCAGACGUGAAAUUCCUGGGCUUAACCUGGGGGCUGCGUUUGAUACGUGCAGGCUUGAGUUCGGAAGAGGGUCGUGGAAUUCCCAGUGUAGAGGUGAAAUUCGUAGAUAUUGGGAAGAACACCGGUGGCGAAGGCGGCGACCUGGUCCGAUACUGACGCUGAGGCGCGAAAGCGUGGGGAGCAAACAGG